rnacentral:pre_miRNA from 1 species
AGCUGCUGGAAUUGGGUGCUUCGGAAGAAAUGAAAUCGAUUCAUAUCAUCACCGUUGAUUGAUCUAUGGAUUGCAUCGGUUGAUUUUUUUUCCGAGGCCACCCAUUCCAACGUCUC